rnacentral:rRNA from 1 species
GACGAACGCUGGCGGCGUGCUUAACACAUGCAAGUCGAACGGAAAGGCCCUGCUUUUGUGGGGUGCUUGAGUGGCGAACGGGUGAGUAACACGUGAGUAACCUGCCCUUGACUUUGGGAUAACUUCAGGAAACUGGGGCUAAUACCGGAUAGGAGCUCUUGCUGCAUGGUGGGGGUUGGAAAGUUUCGGCGGUUGGGGAUGGACUCGCGGGUUAUCAGCUUGUUGGUGGGGUAGUGGCUUACCAAGGCUUUGACGGGUAGCCGGCCUGAGAGGUUGACCGGCCACAUUGGGACUGAGAGACGGCCCAGACUCCUACGGGAGGCAGCAGUGGGGAAUAUGGCACAAUGGGCGGAAGCCUGAUGCAGCAACGCCGCGUGCGGGAUGACGGCCUUCGGGUUGUAAACCGCUUUCGCCUGUGACGAAGCGUGAGUGACGGUAAUGGGUAAAGAAGCACCGGCUAACUACGUG